UACGGGGGGGGCAAGCGUUGUUCGGAAUUACUGGGCGUAAAGGGCUCGUAGGCGGCCAACUAAGUCGGAUGUGAAAUCCCCAGGCUCAACUUGGGAACUGCAUCCGAUACUGGAUGGCUUGAAUUCGGGAGAGGGAUGCAGAAUUCCAGGUGUAGCGGUGAAAUGCGUAGAUAUCUGGAGGAAUACCGGUGGCGAAGGCGGCAUCCUGGACCGACAUUGACGCUGAGGAGCGAAAAGCUAGGGGAGCCAAACGGG
rnacentral:rRNA from 1 species